rnacentral:pre_miRNA from 1 species
UAAUAACAUCACUGAAGCAUUGCACAAAUGACUUGGGAGAAAGCACUCUUUAGUGCUUUCUCCCAAGUCAUUAGUGCAAUGUUUUGGUGAUAAUAAUAA